rnacentral:misc_RNA from 1 species
GAAAGAUGGAAGCUUGGGAUGUUAGUGAAAUCUGUUCCAGUAAUUCAGGCGUUUGGGAAUGUGGAUGUGGUUGGAAAGCCUGAUCCAGUUACUUAUAUGGGUUCAACUAAUAUAGCGGCAAUGCUAAGGGCGGUAUCGAUUUUGUUGAAGGUGGAUGAUGGAUGGGAUUGGUUUGUUAAUCUAAGUGCCUCUGAUUAUCCUUUAAUUACACAAGAUGACUUAUCUCAUGUCCUUUCAUCUGUCAGUAGAGAUGUAAAUUUUAUCGACCACACAAGCGACCUUGGAUGGAAAGAGGGUCAACGUGUAAAACCCAUAGUAGUUGAU